CUGCCGGUAAGUAAACCGGAGGAAGGUGGGGAGUGACGUCAAAUCAUCAUGCCCUUACUGACCUGGGCUACACACGUGCUACAAUGGUUGGUACAACGAGUUGCGAGUCGGUGACGGCGAGCUAAUCUCUUAAAGCCAAUCUCAGUUCGGAUUGUAGGCUGCAACUCGCCUACAUGAAGUCGGAAUCGCUAGUAAUCGCGGAUCAGCACGCCGCGGUGAAUACGUUCCCGGGCCUU
rnacentral:rRNA from 1 species